rnacentral:lncRNA from 1 species
UGUAUCAAGCACGCUGCGCUGCCAGCAGGGCAGUUCAUGGUUUCUCCACUUGAUCUUCCUAUGUCUCUGCAGAUGUUUAUAAACAGUGAAUCAUUAUCAGAAUCAUCCACCAAGUAGUGUCCUGGAACUCUGAUGAGAGGACUCAAGUCAUGUUUCUUCAAAUCUUCAUCAAAUACAUAACAAGGCACCUCUUUCACAGGUUUAAACAAGUUUUUCUUGCAAGCAACAAAG